UUUAAGAUAGCUUAAGCUCAAAGCAUAUCAUUGAAGCUGAUAAAAUGGACAAUUCCUCUUA
rnacentral:tRNA from 1 species